GCGGGUUUACUUGAGUCUUGCUUUUUGGUUUUUGCUUGACCGUGGCGGUUAAUUUGUAUGUGGUUUGUUUCAGUUCUAAACGUGUAAAAAAACAUGUUCAAUAUUUGAUAAUUGAAGAAUUUAGAAUAUUAUAAAAAAUGUCGCAAGUUGUCAAUACUGGCGGUAUGAGAGCAGGCUGUAUAUACAGGAUUUCCUUAAAAAAUUUCAUAACUUAUAAGGAAGUAACGUUGCAUCCUGGUAAAUCAUUGAAUUUAAUAAUUGGCCCCAACGGUACAGGGAAAUCAACAAUAGUGUCUGCCAUCAUUUUGGGCUUAGGCGGAAGCCCCAAAGCAAUCGGAAAAGAUACAAAGCUAGAACAAUUCGUGAAAACUGGAACCAAGGAGGCUACAAUAGAUAUUGAAUUGUAUCAAAACCCAGGACAGAGAAAUGUCAUUAUAACAAUGACAUUUAACCGAAGCGGUGCUCCCAGUUGGCGUAUUGAUAAUAGACCUGCAGAGAAAAAGAGAGUCCAAGCUUUGAUUGCUAGUUUACAUAUACAGGUAGAAAACCUAUGCCAGUUUCUCCCGCAACACAAAGUUCAUGAGUUUGCUGCGAAACUUCCCUCGGAGCGUUUGCGUGACACUUUGGCCACAGUUGGGCCUCCGGGGAGCGUUGAGCAGUUGGACGAACUGAAAACUCUCCGAGCUGAAAAAAAUGAUGUAGGAACCAGGCUCCAAAGCAACAAGAAAGAGUUGCAGGGGCUUGAAAGUCGACACAAUAUGCUCCAAAAAGAUAUUGAAGCGCUCCAAGAAAGAAAAGAAAAGGAAAAAGAAAUAGAACUCUGUAAAGUGAAGAAGCUGUGGCUGGACUACCAGAAGCUUAAGAAGGAUGUCGCCGAACAUUUGCGCGAAAGUAAAGAGCAAGCUAGUAAGAAGAAACAAAUUGAUAGAGUUAUAGCACCACUCGAGACAGACUUGGAGAAUGUUAAAGGGGUAGUCAAUGUAUUCGAACGAAAGCAGCAAACCAUCAAUACGGAGAUACAUAAAGUACACGAACAAGUAAGUAAGAUCAUGGACUCCAUCAGUAACAAUGUGGGACAACUUGAACUUAUUGAAUCUGCUUUUAUGAAAAAAGUGGAGAGACAUAAAAAUAGGAAAAAGGAAUUAAUAGAAGAGAAAUCAAAAUUGGACAAAUUGAAUAUGGACAAGACAUCACUAAGAGAAAGACUUGGAGACCCUAGCAACUUGCAGGCCGACCUGAACAAAACACUCAAACAGAUAAGCGUAACAAGUGCCCAGUGCAAGCACUUGAGAAGUCAGAAAUUGGACGCGCAAUACGAGAUCGACCAGAAUAUUACACCGCAGUUGCGGCAACACCAAAACAGGAUUCGUAGACUCGAAGACGUCAAUGAGAUUCGUCUAAGAACUCUAGCUGACAAAAACGAAGACACUUACAAUGCUGUCAUGUGGCUGAGAGAUAAUAUGAACAAGUUCCAACAUCCAGUGUAUGAGCCCAUGAUGCUUCAAAUAAACUUCACAGAUCCAAAGUACGCACAGUAUUUAGAAGCCACUGUGAGUGCGAGGGACCUUAUAGCUUUCACGUUUGAAUGCAAGGACGAUAUGAACCUGUUCUCUAGGUCGGUGCGCUCUCUGAACAUGAGAAUGGUGAACGCUGUGCAUAGCAGAGGAGCCCCGGAGCAGUCUGAUGAUAUCAGGCGGUUGAGCUACCUCGGUUUCCAAACUUAUCUAGUGGAUACUAUUAAAGCUCCUGACCCGAUACUGCGUUUUCUGUGCAAACAAUAUAAAAUACACAAAAUACCUAUCGGUAAUCAGCAUACAUAUGAUAACUUUGCAAAAGUGCCUCCGAACAUCACUAAGUUCUUUACAGAAAGACAUAUAUUCACCAUUCGCGUGUCCGCAUACAGUGGUGCGAAGUCUAGUUCCACCAGAGAAAUAAAGCGCGCCCGGCUUUUGGCUAACACGAUAGAUCUGGAACAAAUCUACUCUCUACAAAACGAAUUAACCGUGAUAAGGCAAAGUGAAUCAGUGAAGCGGGCAGAUAUACAAAGGUUGGACACACAGUUGCAGGACCUGGAAAAUAAUCUUAGAGAUCUUAGUGACACUAGAAAAAAUAUAGAGGGGUUACUUAAACAAAUAUCAUUAAAUGGAAGAGAAAUUAAAAUGCAAAUGGAAAAAAUCACUGAUUUGACGAACGAAUGCACUUUCGACUUGGAAGCCGAGAAAGCAGCGUGCAGAGCAAAACGCAAGGAAUCCGUUGUAAAACAACGAAAGUUGCAUCAAGAAUUGCUUAGUAUAGUGAAAGUGGUGCAGAAAAAAAUGAUCAGCAAGGAAUUAUGUUCGGUAAAAUUAAAAAUCAGCAGAGACUCAAUAGUGGAUAAGGAAGCUACAUUAAGACAGCAUAAAGAAAAAGGCCGUGAAAUGGAGGAUAUAUUGAGAGCAAUACAACAACGUCUAGAUACCGCCUCUUCGACUGCCAAACAGUUGCAAACUGAAAUAAAGCGAAGCUGUGACAACAAACUGCCGAGCGAGGCCGGCUUCCCCAACAAGUGGGCGUUCGACAGCCUGCCAAACGAUCCCCGCGCCAUAGACGACCACUGCGGGGAACUGACCACCAGGAUGAACCUCUUGGCACCGGGGGAUGAGCAAGUAAUCCAAGAAAACCAACAACUGGAAAUAAAGAUCAACAAACUGAGGUCACUAGUGAAUAAUUCCGCCAAAAAUACCAGAGAACUCGAGAACAAUUUAAGGAAAAUAAAGUCACAGUGGCUGCCGGCACUCGAGAGUUUAGUACAGAACAUCAACGUGAAGUUUGCAGAGAUGUUCCACAACCUAUCGUGUGCAGGGGAGGUCAAGAUUGUGAAGGAAGGUGACGAUGACGACUUUGAGAAGUACGGCAUCGACAUAUUGGUGAAGUUCCGUGCGGAGGAGCAACUGUCGCGGCUGACGGCCUACGUGCAGUCGGGCGGCGAGCGCGUGCUCACUACGGGCGUGUACCUCAUGGCGCUGCAGUCGCUCUCCUCCGACGUGCCGUUCCGGUAACUGUCCGCUGCUUGCACGGUCACAGCUCACACAUGCUGGUGAAGGUCCGCGCUAGGAGCGACUGUCGCGGCUGACGGCCUACGUGCAGUCGGGCGGCGAGCGCGUGCUCACUACGGGCGUGUACCUCAUGGCGCUGCAGUCGCUCUCCUCCGACGUGCCGUUCCGAUGCGUGGACGAGAUCAACCAAGGCAUGGACGCGAACUACGAGCGCCGCAUGCUGGAGAUGCUGAUACAGAUCACCACACAGAACAACGCCUCGCAGUACUUUCUGCUCACACCAAAGUUGCUGCCAAACCUGCAAUACGACGCCAAAGUGACAAUCCACACAGUGAUGAACGGAAAGCACAUAAUGAAGCAUCACAGUUGGCAACAGCAAAAUUUCCUCGCGAACGCUCGCAAAUACAAAUCUUCGUUGACAUAAAAUAUAGAUUUAUUUGUCUUGAUAUUAUGAGUAUAAGUACGACCAUUAUUUUACGCCGCUCACGAUCAUGUUGCGUGUCUGCAGUGCUCUUAAACAUCGAAAUAUAUGCUUUAGUGAUUGUUUCGAUAUAUAUUUUUUUCGCAAUGAAACUUUUUUACGCACGCUUUAAGGUCGGUUUAUAUCUACAGACACAGUGUCACAGACAAGUAGCGUGGCAGACACCCACAGACACCGUCUAUUCACACUACCCAGCAUUUAGGUAGUGACACUUAUCCUUUUCAUGAAAGAAGUCCCUCAGACGCGGCACUAAUGUCUUAAUGGCGCUCAUUGUCAUUUGGUAAUGGCGGUCUUGUUGUCAUUUGUGUAAGGCGCUGUCAAUUUUAGUUCAGGUUUCAUGAAAGGACUCCACAGAUAUGUACCGCACAGACAAAAUAUUCUUUCCGCGAAUACGCAGCCCAUGUCUGUCAACGUCUGAUAUAUAAUUACUUUAAUAAACACUGUAUAGAAGAAUAUUAUUUUGUCUGCCACGGCACGUGUCGGGCACGUUAAAUGUAGAUAUAAACGGACCUUUACAUGGGGACUAAAUUUGUGAUACGAAAAGUUUAGUCGGGCGAGGUAUUUAAGAUGAGUGCCAUCUACAGGAAUAGUGAAACAGUGUUAUUUUAAACUAUCAAUAGAUGGCGUUCUCAGAGAACUUUGAAACAAUCCCUUUUGUACACUUCAUGUGUGGGUCUUCUCCGGCGUGUGAAAGAGGCGAAGGGUUCGGGCCUCGAGGCAAUGCCUCCUUGCUAGGGUGCGUCGUGGGGUACCUUGCUCCCCCGGUACUCUCUUUCAACCCCUCCCGGGGUUGAGGCCUUUAUGGCUUAGGGGUUUGGGAUGAAAUCCGGUGGCCCGGAUUGCGAUUUUUUUUAAAGAAUAUUUGCCAUAUCUUUGCAGUUAUGCCUGAAGCUCAUAGAUGGCGUUUUGUUUUUUUACUUAAAAAAAUAGUUUUACUUCAAUCGUGUGUCAUGUCUUACUACCUUUAGCACACUCGUUUUUUUUCACCACAUCUCGAAAUGCGCUGUAGACUUCACGGUAAACUUGAUCGUGUGUGGCUGGCGUUAGUCGUCUGGCCUUAUCUAUCUAUCCAUCUCGCUCGCACUCAUUACAGUGGCCAUAAUUUUUUUAUGUAUGUAUCUCACUCUCAUUCAUUAGGAGUGCUAUUGCAUAUUGAUGUAAAAUACUAGACUAUGUGAUUUUUUUUGGUAGAAAGGAAGAGUUAUAUUUGUAAUUUAUCUAGUUAUAAAUUAAUAAUUAACUUAACAUGUCUUUAUCAUCUGCUAGUUUCUAGAAUUUCACAUUGGUGAAUAAUGUUUUUUUUAUCUCGAGAUUGUACUUUUAUCACAAUUUUGUUAUAAUAGAAAUCAAAUAUUAGUGAAAUAUUGAUGUCCAAUAGGUUAGUUGACACUUUUUUUAAAUGGUCUUAAAUAGUUCAUUAUCGUUCUACUAGAUUGAUUUUAUUUUCUACGAAAUUUUAGAACAAAAAGUUUAGGUUGUAAUAAUUAUAGGAGUAUGAGAAAACGUCUAUCACGAAACCCUCACUUUCCUCCUCAUGAAAAACGAAUCUCGUGGCUUGUUCUUUUUGUGGCACUGUAAUUAUGUGUUUUGUAGGAUGACGCGGGUGGCAAGUGUAAGUUUGACGUAACUAGUGAUGGAGAAAGCUUUAGUCGAUAAUUAAUAUCGACAGUAGUGAACGAUUUUUUGGCAGUAGUAUAAAAUACAUAUCGAUUUAGAUUAAAACGAAUGAUUCUAAAAUUAUAAAGAAAAACAAUAUUACACUUCAACUGUAUUUUUUGGAAUAAUAACGGAUAUCUCCUCUUAUAACUCGUAUAUUGAACAAAAUCCAUCUUUUUAUUCUUAUAUUGAGUAAUUAGAUUACUUAAAUCAAUAAUUAAUUUAUUAAUUUAGUUAUAACAAACAUUCGUGCCUUAGAUUAUUGCAAUUAAGAAAUUUAAUAUUUAGAAAAAUUAACAACCUAAUUUACUAAAUGUAAUUUUCAUUAUGUUACGAUCAUUGAUCUCCUAUUAAAAAGUGGAUGCACAACCAGCGACCAAAAAACGUCCCCACUCAAUGAGUGCCAAACACACCUUCUUGGCACUCAUUUCAAGUAGUCGCAUUUGCAAAUUGAACCUUAAACUCAGUCUUAUUUAAAGACCUUUAGGUAUAAUUUUCUUUAUCAAUAAUUCUAAAACUGUCAAAGCAAAACUGGCCAGUUUUGAAAUGAAAAUUUCCACGUAAUUGUGCGUCCUUUUUAACCGACUUCCAAAAAGGAGGAGGUUCUACGUUCGGCUGUAUGUAUGUUUUUUUUUUUUAUUAUAAGAGGUCAAUGGUUACGAUUUGCUUCUAAAACUAUUACUGCGUGGUCCUUCUCUAAGUUUUAUUGAUUUACCCUUCAUACAAUCAUACGACAUUAUUCGUCCUACAUUUUACUGACAUAAUAAUACGAAACUUCAUACACGUUGGUCUGCCACCCGCACCAUCAGUGGCGUGUACAAGGUUUUUAAUUAGGGUAGGCACUAUACAUAAAAACUGUACAAAAUGGAAAAUUCCUCCUCCAAUACUGGUUCAAAUUUCAGGGUAGGCUGUGCAUUUUUGGAUCUAUGAAGUGCUCACCACUGCAGCUAUCCUAUAAUGAAUUAACUAUAGCUUGGCAAAUUCGUUCGUAACACUCCCGAUGGUCCGCGCGGGCCGGGGUGCGUGUAGCGAUGAAUGAAAAACCCACGACUGAUGCACCUCAUUUCCCCGCAUGCACUAUUUCACACCCGCGCAGUCUUUCCUCCCGUCGUGUGCAUAUCAUGGGAGUGUCAUCAACGAACCUGCCAGACUUAUAGUUAGAGAUUUUGUGACCACAGAGUAAUCAAUAUACAUAAAUCGCCACGUGUAGCUAAAACUAGCUUUUCCUCAACUAGUUCUAGCCAGUCAAUAGUGUAACUUGAUGCUCCGUAAAAACACUUUGUAGGAGGAACCAGGAAAAAUGUUGGACGUACCUUGUAUUGCUUGCUGUCGUCUUUCCGGGGUACCCCUCAUUAGUAGAUAGCUGCAGGUCUGGCAAUUUCAAAUAAUGGCUGGCACUCAGACUAAAUACAUAAGGACUAGUAUCGCUUCCAAAUUCACGAACAAAAUUUUCUGCCAUUUUCUAAGGAAAACGAGCUUAGAUUUCAUACAUAUCUUAUACUAAACUAGCAGUUUUUGUUCGUUUAUUACACCAUUUAACUACACAAAAGGUAUUUUUACGGAGGUUAUUAACCGACAGACACGAUUGUAAACUAUGAAACAUCGAUUCUAUAGAGACAGUGUUUAUAACCGCAUAAGAUCGUUGAUCAUAUACUUCGACAGAAAAAUAAUGUCUUGCGAGGCAGGUCUUUAUCUAAUUAGUCUGAGGGCUGGCACGAUACGAUUGACAAAUGGAAUAUUUGAUUCAAUGCUCGUAUGAGAAUAUGAUUAUGAAAUUACAAAAAGACAUAACUUUUUAUAUACAAUUUAAACUUUAUAGUGGUUGAUCUGUGUUUGUGAUAGUUGAAACGGCCGUGAUAUACUGUGAUAUAAAAAUGUAUUUAGAACUAAGAAACUCCUUUAAAUCGCCGAUACCCACCUACUCACCAAAAGUCACGACUAAGAAGCAAACAGCUCGCGUACCAAAUAUAAGUGGAAUGAAUGGUAGGAGAACUCAUGAUGCUAAAAGUGUACUUACUCGAGCGCUUCGGUCAGGGAUCUUUAGAUAUAGUAGAUUAGAUGAUACGGUACCACUUUUUGUUUUGUACAAUAAAAAAAAGUAUAAAUGGUUAGAUACAAUUACCACUUUUAGACGUGGGGUAAAAACUAAAGACUUUGAUGACAAUUUUUAUUAUUUCGACUUGUUGUAAAUAAAAAAAUUAACUACGCCCAUGACUCUAGAAUAGAAAUUUUGCAAACUUUGUAACUUUUUUACUUUAUAUUUUAAACAGUCGAACUGUUCAGUUAAAUCGAUUGUGUGUAAACAAAGAAAGAAUAAUAUCUUAACAUGAAGCAUGAUGGUCUGUAGCCCGCGUUAGGUUCGGUCCAACUUAUUAGCUAUUAGCUAAACCACUUUUAAGUACCCUUAUUUGAUAUAUUGUCUGUGUAUUUCUAAAUUAUUUUUGUUGCCAUAAGCGCUUAUAAUCCAGUCAAAUAAGACUUUCCAUAGAGCUAAAAAUUGGUAUGAAUCACGGAAAUGGCAAUGCUUAUGGAAAAAAGUGUGGAAACAAUUUUUGUAGAGAAUCGGAUGAUCUACAACCUUUGGCUGAACUAUUUUUGUUGUAAAACUUACCGGAAAAAUUCGAAAAACCUAUUUUUGCAAACUUUCGCUAUCAAUUUUUUUUACACGAGGGGGAUCGAUGAGGACUUUUCACAAUUAAUUUAUAAUAGUAUUCUGAACAUUCAUAUCAAUUUUUAGCUGUAUUGGAAUUAUUGUAACCUUACUUCUAUUUUAAGGAUUAAUUUAACUGGACUAUUAUUAUCUAAGCUUUUAAGUCACGAACGCAUUUAAACGAAAAACCAUUUACGCCGUUGACGCAUUUAAACGAAUGGAAUAUUGAAUAGUUUCAAAUAACUUGAAUUUUAUCUAAAGAUUCAAAUUCUUUCUUCAGAGUCUAUGCGCACGAAUUACGCGAAAAAUACUUUGGCAAUAUCGUUUUAUGUAGAUCCAGAGAUUACUCCCCACAAUACCACAAACCUCUUUAUAAUAUACUCAGAGGCGCAAAUAUCCGCCUACUUUAAUAUACUGCGCGUCAUAUUAAAGAGGGCGGAUGUAUGUGCCUCUGAGUAUAUAUAUAGUAGAUUAAAUAUGAAUAACAGUCGCGAUAGUUAAAAUUGUAAAACAGAUUUACUUGUAAAAAACCUAUGAUUGCAAAGAAUACUUUGCCAUGUUGUCUCUUCGAUAUGCGACACUGUGUAUGUACUUACUUAUGUUUAAUUGUUUAGAAAACUUUUUCUUACAUUGUUGAUUAAUUAUUAUUAUUACAUUAUGUACAUACCUACAUAUUAAUGUUACGUACGCGUAGUUUUAAUGUUUUAUCAAAUAAGUACGUAAAUUUUUAUAAUGUUUUGGUAGAAUAUUCUUACGUUUCGUUGCUGGUUCUUUUAUGUCGCUAUGAAGUACUUUCGGACGCGUCCCAGUGGUGACUUUGGACGCAAUUACAUGUUUAUUUCUUUUACUGAAUACCAAAUAUAUUUUACUAAUAAAAUUGAUACCAAAAUUGAAAUUGUAUAUCACAAACGGCAUUUACGAAUUUAUGGAUUUUAACACGCUUUUCCUAGUAUAAAAAUUCAUUGUAAACCAAUAGCAGCAGAGUUCCAAUGGCGCUUUCCCUUUCGGUUUUGUCCCAUCGGAAUGAAACGGUGCUAUAUUUUUGAUUCUGCUGCUUUUGGCCGAUAUUUUGUCUUUUUGUCCUCGAGAUAUGAUGUCGUGGUGCGCCAUCUAUAUCUUUGGCUUACUUCUAACAUAUUAUGCUGAGGCACAGCAGACGCUAAACCCCAUCGAUGCCAAAGUUUUAACAAGAGGUCGGAGUUUCGUCCCCGUUUGUAUUUUUAGCCCUCACUUAUAUGAAUCAUUAAUAUAACUCUCUACACACGGCGCUUGACGCCGGUUAGUGGCGUGCAUAAGUUAGUCAAUCAGGGUAAGCACUAGUGAGAAAAUUUAACCAUACUGGGUAAAACAACAUUUAAUAAGUAUUAAGAAAAAACAUCUCUCAGGGUAAGCAGUACUUUAAUGCACGUAUGACCACCACAAAACUAUAAAAAGUCAUUCAAGUACGUCCACUAAUCCGCAUCGAACGAUUUUAUCUACAGGUAAAUUAAAAAUGUGUUUGUAGUUAGACGUCUAAAAUUUUAGUUGUUAAGAAAUUCUAUUGUAUUUUAAUUUACAACUAGUGGUUUCACUUGCGUGGUGCCCAUACCCGUAGGAGUACGGGGAUGAAAUAUAGUAUAUAGUACUAAUAUAUAAUAUAUAGUACUCGGGGAUAGUAUAGGUCAGGGUUUCUCAAAGUGGGGUACACGAACCCUCAGGGGUUCGCCAUUCGAGGGCAGGGGGUACGCUACAAGAUACAAGCACACCCAACACAUUAAUAUUACAAAGACAUUUCUUUUGGUACUUUAUGUGUUACCUUUUAUUCAAAUAAAAACCUUAUUUUUCCAAAACACCAUUAAAAAUUAAACAAAAUAUCACGUUUUGUAAGUAUAUAUUUUUAUGUAGUACUGUUUUAAAUGUAUUAAUAUUACAUUAAUAUUGUGAUAAAUGUUUCAUAUAUGUGUAUAUUUAUUGUAUAAAAAUGUUAAUAAUUACAAUAAAUAUUAUUGAUUAUUUUUA